rnacentral:snoRNA from 1 species
GGCGAUGACGAGCCCCGGAGUGGCUGAAUGGCACCGUGAUGAAGGGCAUACUGGCCGAGC